rnacentral:rRNA from 1 species
CUCAAGAACUUGUCUCAGUUCGGAUUGUAGGCUGAAACUCGCCUACAUGAAGCUGGAGUUGCUAGUAAUCGCGAAUCAGCAUGUCGCGGUGAAUACGUUCCCGGGGCCCUUGUACACACCGCCCGUCACACCAUGAGAGUUGGCAAUACCCAACGUACGUGAUCUAACCCGCAAGGGAGGAAGCGUCCUAAGGUAGGGUCAGCGAUUGGGGUGAAGUCGUAACAAGGUACC